rnacentral:rRNA from 1 species
UACGGAGGGUGCGAGCGUUGUCCGGAAUCAUUGGGCGUAAAGGGCGCGUAGGUGGCCCGGUAAGCGUGCGGUGAAAGCUUGGGGCUCAACCCCGAGUCGGCCGUGCGAACUGCUGGGCUUGAGUUCGGGAGAGGAGCGUGGAAUUCCCAGUGUAGAGGUGAAAUUCGUAGAUAUUGGGAAGAACACCGGUGGCGAAGGCGGCGCUCUGGACCGAGACUGACGCUGAGGCGCGAAAGCGUGGGGAGCAAACAGG